ACCUGAGCCGAAGGCAGAUGCUUAACCAUGUGAGCCACCCAGGCGCCCAGAGCUGAAGGUGCACUCGCAGAAAGUGGCUUCAGCUGGGACAACAGGAGCCCUCGAAAGAGCCAGGCUGUGGCCCAGGAGACAUCAGCCUUCCAGUCCCUGAAGCCUGCGGGAUCUGUGAACCUCACCAGAGUCCUGGCCCCG